UACGUAGGUGGCAAGCGUUAUCCGGAAUUACUGGGUGUAAAGGGUGAGUAGGCGGGAACACAAGUCAGAUGUGAAAACUAUGGGCUCAACUCAUAGCCUGCAUUUGAAACUGAGUUUCUUGAGAGUCGGAGAGGUAAACGGAAUUCCCAGUGUAGCGGUGAAAUGCGUAGAUAUUGGGAGGAACACCAGUGGCGAAGGCGGUUUACUGGACGACAACUGACGCUGAGACACGAAAGCGUGGGGAGCAAACAGG
rnacentral:rRNA from 1 species